UCAAUUCUAACUUUAACAGGCCUUAUUCUUCCUUCGGGGUGAUGUUGGUGCUGACGAGUGGCGGACGGGUGAGUAAUGCAUAGGAAUCUACCCAGUAGUGGGGGAUAACGUGGAGAAAUCCACGCUAAUACCGCAUGUGUCCUACGGGACAAAGCAGGGGACCUUCGGGCCUUGCGCUAUUGGAUGAGCCUAUGUCGGAUUAGCUUGUUGGUGGGGUAAAAGCCUACCAAGGCAACGAUCCGUAGCUGGUCUGAGAGGAUGAUC
rnacentral:rRNA from 1 species